ACAAUCGACCCCAGAUGAAAACCCCACCCCGCUCCCAUUCUCGUCGCCGCCCUCUUCCCCCAGCACAACGACGCUUUCCGCCUCACCACACCACACCACACCACACUGCUGCACACCAUCAAUCCUCAAAGGUCGCCUAAACGGCUACCCAAUUAGCCCUAUUUUGCUUUUAGAACUGACUUCUAAAACUGAAUCUUUGGAAACAUAUAGAGCAAAAGAUUUGGUUCGACGGCCUCGAUAAGCGGAGGACGACGGAAGCGAUGGACCUUCCGGCGAAAACGCGCAAUAAGCGGCGGCAAUCAACACGAAAGAUAUGAGGCAACUAAUUAAGGGAUUGAGUGCCGAUGGAGGAGGUGGAACAUCCGAUGGAAGAACAAAGCAAUAGACGGCUCUAAAUGACAAAAGAUUUGUAGAGUUGUGAAGCAGUUGAUCAUGCUAAGAGAUUGAAGGAGGACUGAAAGGGUUAUCAUGCUGUCCAUUUGGAUUCUUUAUGGUUUAUGAACUAGAAUCUUCGUGGUUGGUGUUGGCGCAUGAUUAGCUCUGGGAAUCUGGGUAUAUAAAAUCAAACUUAGGGGAGAAAGCUUUGGUUAUGCUAUUGGAUGUAGUGACAGUUCCCACACAAGACCUUCAACCAACCAAUCCUCGUAUACUUGACUAAGUUGAUGAUCUUGCACAACUAAGUUAUUUGAUCGAGCCAUCAAUUCUUCACAAUCCUCAGCCUAGAUAUUGACAAGAUAAUUUAUAUAGAAUGGCAGGCCCUGUAUUUUUUGUCCGUCAAUCCUUUUAAAAAUGUCUAGCUAUAUGGGGAUGAUAAAGAAAGAAACUUUUGGACACUCCUCAUGCUUAUGCUGUUGCUGAUGCAGCAUGCAAUGCAAUGAUAGCAGAUGAAGAAGUUGACUAAUAAGAAAGAAGGAGGUGCAAAAAAAGGAAAAAAAAGAAAUAAAAAAGAAAGAAGAAGGUGCAAAAAAAAAAAGAAAAAAACAGAAAGAGAGAGAUGAAAGCAAAAAAAGAAGAUAAAGCGCUGUUGGAGGAGUUGAAAUCAACAACCUCAACAACUGUUACUAGGGAGAAAAGGAGUUGAAAUAGGAGAGCAAUGAGGCAGACAUAGGAGGGGGAACAAAAUUAGGAAGUUGCCUGAUUAGACAGAAGGAGACGCAAAAUAAAAAAAAGAAAGAAAAAAAGAAAGAAAGAAGGCGAAGCAAGCAAAGAAAGAAGAUAAAUAGCUCUUGGAGGAGAUGAAAUCAGCAACUUCAAGAACUGUUACAAGGGAGAAAAAGAGAUUAUGUAGAAGAGGAAUGAGGCUGACACAGUUCUCAACAUGCAAGGAAGGAAGAGACAACUGCCCAAUCUAGGACAUGUCCCAGAUCCUUGACGUGCAGAAGCUGACCAACACAAGGCUGUAGUGAACAAGACAUGAUGCUUACAAUGCCAAUCCAAAAGGUACGAGUGGGAAAUGAUGAGGUCACCAAAUCUCUGACACUUGAACAGAUCAACAUGUCAUUUCCAUCGGGAAAGAUAACAUGGGCGUUAGUAAGCAUCCUUGAUUUGUAUGGAUUUGAGUCACUUAAGAGUGGGCGCUCUGGGAAUCUGUGCAAAUAAAAUCAAACUCGGGGGAGAAAGCUUUGGUUCUGCUCUUGGACGGAGUUGUGACAGUUGCCACAGAAGACCUUCUACCAGCCAUUUUGCAUAUACUUGAAGAAGUUGAUGAUCAUGCACAAGCUAAGUUAUUUGAACUAGUCUUCAGUUCUUCAGAUACGUGGUGAUUACUCUUAUAUACUUUUUUCUAUUAUUAUAUAUGUGGCAUACAAAAAUCUUUGUUAUUAGCUUGUAUCCUUUUUACUUAAUAGUUAGUGUUUCGUUAUUAAGAACCUAUUUUCUUUAAAACAUACCACAUGAUGAAUGUAACAUAUAUUGUUGAUGAUGCACAAGUCAUUGCACUUUCUCUUAAUAAAAAAAAUCAUUUAUUGCCUGAAACACAUUUAUAGCUUUUCUGGAAAAUGUUAUGACCGGAAGCCCAUGAUUAUUUUUUCAAGUAGGCUGAGGUUAAGAAGUGCUUCUGAACACAACUAUCUAAAUCCGAGUGAAUGUUUUUCAAAUCCCAGACAUUGAUAAUGAACAAAAGCUUCAUAAUCUUAUGGUCAAUGACAGGUCUUGAAUAUGCAUUGUAUAUUAGUUAGCUACGCCCAUUUGUUUUUCUCGUACUCGUCAUUAUUCAAGCACCCAACCACUUUUGUCUCUUGAUAGUAGCCUUAGAUGCUAUAAAGAUGACGAGGAAUGCCUCAAAAUGCUUGCUAUAGUUUUGUGGCUGGGAAACAUAUCAUUUCUUAUAAUUGAGAAACAAAAGCGCAUCGAGGUUAUUCCUGAUGAAGCUUGCUUGAUGGGCUGGAGUGAGCAAGAUCGGAUGCUUUCAAUGUGAAAGUGCCAGCGGGAUCUCUGUCACUUGAAUAUGUUCUUAAUUUUUUGUGUGUGCGCCCAGUGUAUAUUUUGUGUAUGAGUAUUUAGUGUGUGUAUUUCAUAUGUAUAGUGCAUGUAUGUUGUGUAUA